AAGCAUCCCCGCAGCCACAGCCGCCGGCAUAUAUCACCACCGGUUCCUUGUCGCAGCCUCGCAGAGCCGCAGGUGCUUCUUUCCAUUCCACCCUCCGGAGUCGUGAGAAGCUUCUCGACCCCUCUCCGCCCCCCUCUCUGCAGAAAACAAUGAGCAGGCGCAACAGCCGCACCAUCUACGUAGGCAACCUCCCUGGGGACAUCCGUGAGAGGGAGGUUGAGGAUCUCUUCUAUAAGUAUGGACGGAUUUUGGAUAUUGACUUAAAGAUUCCUCCAAGACCUCCUGGUUACGCUUUUGUUGAGUUUGAGGAUCCCCGUGAUGCCGACGAUGCAAUUUAUGGGCGUGAUGGGUAUACCUUUGAUGGCUACAGAUUGCGGGUUGAAUUAGCCCACGGUGGAAGAGGUCAGUCUUACUCUUAUGAUCGUCCAAGCAGCUAUAGCAGUGUGGGCCGUGGAGGUGUUUCUAGGCGCUCUGAUUACCGUGUUAUGGUCACUGGUUUACCUUCAUCGACGUCAUGGCAAGAUCUGAAGGACCAUAUGCGAAGCGCUGGUGAUGUCUGUUUCUCUGAUGUAUACCGUGAGGCUGGAGAAACUAUUGGAAUUGUGGAUUAUACAAACUAUGAAGACAUGAAAUAUGCAGUUAGGAAGCUUGAUGACUCGCAGUUCAGAAACGCAUUUUCAAAGGCGUAUAUCAGAGUGAGGGAGUAUGAUGCUAGAUCACGAAGCAGAAGCCGUAGCCACUCGUACUCGAGAAGCCCCAGUUACAGCAGAAGCAGGAGUCCAAAAUCUGUUUCUCGGUCACCCUCACCUGUGGAUGAAAGGUUUGCUUUUGUUUUUCCUAGAUCUGGCCAUGCGGCGAUCUGGGGACUGCAUUGAUAGAAUAUUGGAUGUAUUGAGAAACGGAAAGGAUGGUUUGGGACUUUGGAUAGUAGAGCUGGAUUGUGAUGCAUGUAUGACAAGUGGGCAACAACCCAGUCCUAGGAGCAAGAUAGGACUGACAGUAAGGAUAUGUGAAAUGGAUAUUGUGGUAUUAUUAAAAAGAAAUUGUUGACUAUAAGCACUUAAAUUUCAAAGACUCCAUAUAAAUGAGCCUGAACUCAUAACUUUGCUAGUUUUCUUUUAAUAAUCUUGUCAUCCUGGUAAAAAAGAUGAGAAAAUCCAAAUACUAUGGUGCUUGGUAAGCACUUUCUUGUCAAUGUGGAUCCUAAGUUUGCUUUAGCUCAAAAAAGUUGACACUAAGAAUUAAGAUUCAAUAUACACCUUGCUUAGUUUUCCUAUUUGCAGUUUCUGUUUUAGUUGAAUUACACGACCUGAUAGCCUGAUAGGAUGAAUAAGAAUAUUACUUUAUUGAAAAGUACAUAAAAACUUGUAUUAAGCAUAAACACCAAAAUGUGCACUAAACACUGUAGCUCUCCUCCAGAAUCUCUGAUGGGCUGGUUAGUUUUGUUGGCAAUUUUAUAUCACAAUACUACUAAUGCAGCAUUAAGUAAUGAAUUUUGUUUCUGGAACCUUCUGCAGAUCGCUGUCAAGAUCCCGAUCCCCUGUUUCUUCUUCUUCUCCGGGAAGAUCCACAAGCAGAAGCCCUAGCAGGAGCAGGAGCCUAUCCCGUUCUCGAUCUCCUGUGAGAUCUGAUUGAACUUGGAAUCCCUUGAAGCAGUGAGCAACUAACGAGAGACCGGACUUGAGGAGAACAUGCACUACCAUUACAAUGUUCUGAAUGACUACACUGUUGUCACUGCUCUCCCUCAUUUGGGAGGUUGCCUUUUAUUUAGUACUUAGGCUCAUGCGUUGCAUGCUGGUAAAACUGAACUCGUGUGUUGGAGCAGUCAGGUUUCAUUUACUAUUAGCAUGUGAAGGACAAUCUGUACAGUCUGUCGUACCGUAAGACUAUUGUUGCUGAAUGCACCGCGGCUCAUUUGAUCGCUGGUAAACCUUUUAUCAGUAGUUUGGUUGAUGUACUCAA